rnacentral:lncRNA from 1 species
GGGAGAAAGGUGUGUCCGUUCUGUCAAGUGAAGUCCUUGUGGGAUCUGCCAUGAGAUGGUGAGGCACCCGUCUACUGUGUGGACAAGCCUCCAGGUUUCAUUGUGACCCUCAUUCUCCCUUCCUGAUGGCAUUCUCUUGUCUGUGACUUGACAUGUGGUAUCUAGAAUGGAACAGAAAGUUCUAGAUAUCCAGCAGACCAGGGCAGGAGUAGGUGAGACCAUCCCUUCCCUCUGGACUGUGGGUCCCAUGAUUGCUAAUGUGUCCCUGGCCUAACACACGACCUGGCGUGCAGGCUGUGGUAGAUAUUGCCUUCGUAGAGACCAGGUCUGGAGCCACAUUGAGAAUGUAGCAGGAUGGCAGCCUACUGCCUGAAUUGCACCCAUUCCUGGUCACACGUCAGCCUCCCUUUUCUGUUUCCGGCCUGUGUAGAUGCAUUCUUGUGUAAAUGCUAUUGUUGGGUCUGUUCUGUGUGAGCCUAUAUUUUCCUAGGAAAAGUGUUGUAGAAAUUACUUUAAUCCUGGCCCGGGGUUAUUGACUUCCCAGAUAAAAAAACACACACAGCCUUUAUAGUUUUAAUAAGCCUUAAGCAGCACAAGAGCUGGGCAGCUGCUUACCCUCCUCGAUGUUAGAAUCUACUUUGCUAUCGAUAAUCCGAGUUACUUACUGUGUUUCGUCUGGGCUGCUCAUAACUUCAAUCAGCCAGCCCUCAGAACCAUGUUCUUCUGGCUCAUCUAACCCAUGGCCACUUCUUCCUCAUGCCCUCCUCUUCUCCCCCUUCACGUUCCUCCUCUGACCCCAAACCCGCAAAGCCUAAACCCCACCUAUGUCUCUUCUGCCCAGCUAUUGUACUGAUUAACGUGUAUUGUAAGUAUAAAGGCUGUGUGUGUCUUUCGUCCAUCCGAGAGGGAUGGGUAGAAACCUCAGGAGGAGUUUAAAUAUUUACUACCAAAGGGAGUGGAUUUUAACAGGUAGUCAGGGGACCUGAUUUGAUCAAUCAGUCAUGUCUGAGGAGGUUGUUCUCGUCUCCUUUCUCUGAGAAUUGAUGAAUUUAUUAGUGACACACUAGUGAUUGUUGGCAGUGAAACAGCACUGGUUGUUCUGUGUACUUGCUAAGGUGACAGUCUUGAGCUGAGAGUGGAGCGCAGCGGGAGUGAGCCUUUCAGUCAGAGCUGGGUAUGGCUGUGGUGGACCAGCAGCCCAGGCUCACACUGCACAGAAAGGGAAGGGUGUAAGCUCUGGUGGGCGACAUGUCCUCCCAAGGGGAAGUGGUGUUGGGUCCUGUGGCUUCUCUGGGAGAAUCCAUUUCAAGAAAGGUUCCUUUUCUGUCCUGCCAGGGGGAGGUCCUGUGAGAGCCAGUGUGAGCGUAGGCCUGUGGCCUGCCCUGGCCUUUGCCAUAGGUGAUAAUGCUGGAGAGCCAGAGGCCACAUCCAGCCCCUGACCUUCAUCCCUGCAGUGCUGGCUGCAGGUCCCAGGCCUUCAGCUUGUACUGGGGUAGGACUCAGCAACUCCCUGCAGGGUGCUCUGGAGUGAGCGUCACACCACUCACUGAGCGCACGGGAGCAUGUCCAGGGAAUUCAGCUGUCAGCAGGGCCUCAUAUAGUUGCUGCUCUUCGCCCCACAGCAGGCUGAGGAGGCCAUUGUCCCCAGUUCACAGCUGAGGAAACAGGCACAGAGAGCUUGAGAACCCGGCCUAAAGCCACACAGCUCCUAAUCGGUAGAGCCAUGGUCCACAGCUGGACAGUCUGGCCCAGGGGCAUGUGGUUCUUCACCCCAGCUCUAUGCUGCCCUGUAUCCUGAAAGGUCAGAGGUCAUCAGACGACUGCAGGGCUAAGUGUCACUGCAGCUCAGCCCUUGGCUUGCCGCUCUGUUCUGAGUGACCGCUCUGCUGACUUUUCGCAGCCUUUGUCAUCUAUAACUUCCUGAGCUUGUGCUAUGAGUACCUCGGGGGAGAGAGUGCCAUCAUGUCUGAGAUCAGAGGGAAGGCCAUUGAGUGAGUAUGACAGCUUCCUGAGCCCCAUGUGGGCAACUCCCAGCCUCACCCACACCCUGGGUAGACACAUAGACCAUACCCACGCACCCCCUGGGUGGGCACACAGACCACCCCAGCCCCUGGCCCCAGCCCUCUCUACUUGUCAUUCCCAGGUCCAGCUGUAUGUACGGCACGUGCUGCCUCUGGGGAAAGACCUACUCCAUCGGAUUCCUGCGGUUCUGUAAACAGGUGUGUGGCCAGCGACAGCCCCAGCUUGGGAGCAGGCAAGGGGCCCUGGUUCAGACCUUUGUCCUGGAGGGUGAUUCGUGUUGCAUGCUGACCUGUGCCAUACCUGUGGAGGUCUCCAGGCCCUUGAGCUGUCCCCAAGCUAUUCUGGAGACACCAUGUUAAUGUCAUCUGCUGAGACUGGCAGUGAACAUCCUGGAAGUCUCAGGGGCAGCCUGGGGCCGGAGAAGCUGGCCCAGAGUCUUACUGUGUUCAAGAACCAGGAAGCACACAGUUCUGGACCAUCUAUUUAAAAACCCAUCCCUGUUUCUGGGCCAAGAGGGUUUCUGCAUGAGAGACACCGAGCAGACCAGACUGCGCAGCGCCUGCCCUCUCCCACGUUCCAGUCACAGCGUCAUGGCUGCUGGUCUCCUUGGUCACCACUUCCUGGCUACAGUUGGACUUGCAGCUUCUCUGCCUGUGUGACCUCAUCGUUUGUUUAACCUCUCUAAGCUUGUUUGUCCUUCUAUAAAAUGGAGGUGGCAAUACUUACCUCAGGAGGUGACUGAAGGGAGCAGAUGAGGCAGAGGAUGUAGUCCUUAGCACAGCUCUGUCUCAUCUAGGGAGAUAGUAUCUAGGGGUGCCACACCCAGACUUCAUGACUGCCCUUGGCCUCUGCAGGCCUCUGUUAGCCUCCAACAUGGCCAGGUAGUCAGAGAGAAAGGUCCCCCCCACCCUCACCUCCCCGCCAAGGGCACUACAGUCUGUCCCUCUUGUUGGCCUCUGUACAGGGCUCAGGGCCACAGCACGGCUACCUGCACAACAGCCUGGCAGUGGACAUGUCCGAGCUUCAGUUCUGCCUCUCCCAGAGGGAGCCUCUCCUAGAGGGAGCCUCACGGUCUCUCCCGUGGAGUGGUCCGGAAGGGGUUAACGCUGUUCUGGUCCAGGGUGGGGCUUGCCUAGCCUUUGUUUGUGUAGUUCAGCCACCCAGUCCAGGCCCAGCUGUGACUCAUGGCCGCGUUUGAUCAUGACAUUGUCCUCAAAGGUUUGCUCUCAAGAGCAGAACAGAGAACACAGUUGGCCUCACCGCCACCAGGUACAGACCAUUCCCCUCCCAGGACUCUGGGGCCCCCAAUGUUGAACUUCACCGUGGCGGUGAAGGCAGGAGUGAAGGAGCAUGUGGAGGCGCCCGACCCCUGCGCCACCCCUGUUUACACAGUCCUGUCUUCAUUCCAGCACCACAGGGUGGGCCAGGAUGUCCUCCGGCCCAGAGCCCAGUGUCUGAGUCUUUUGGCACAUUUGUUAAAAGGGGAAAUUCCUGGGCUACAAUGUGAUGGAAAAGCACUUCCCUCGUGUGUGUGUGUGUGUGUGUGUGUGUGUGUGUUUUCCUGGGUUCUGUUCCUAUGAGGAGACAUAAGGGGCGGGGGUUAGGUGACAGAGGAAGGGAGGGGAGCAGGGAUUCUCAGGUCAGUGACCCCUAACCCCCCAACUCAACAGAGCUCUAGAAAAGACUGCCCGCUCUGGGGCUGACACAUAAUUUUGACUUCUCCCCUAGACUGUGGCCCUCAGACACCCACCCAUGGUAUAGCUGGACAAAGGUUCUGGAGCCUGUUGGCUUAGGCGCCGUUGCUGCAUCUGCCUGCCUCAGUUUCCUUGUGUGUGACUGAGCUGAUAAAAGUUCCCUACAGGGAGCAGCCCCACCAGCUCCCUGGGCACCUUGGUGUGAACCCCUGCUUUUCUCCCUUCCGCACACUGCCUCUGGUGAAGGUUUGCAGCCCAGGGCUUCUGUUGGGGCUUUCUGAUAGCAGCGCACAGCCCUGCCUGUGCCGUGCUCCUCAGUGGAGAUGUGUUCCCGGGCAGUCCUUCUGCUUUCAGCCUCUGCCUCUGGGCCUAGCCAGAGCCAUACUGGCCAUGCCGUGUGCCUGCCGCCUCUCCUUCACUCAGGGCUUCUGGCUGAGGAUGAUGGCCUUGAGGUCAGUGUGAGUCUGCGGGUGACACGGACACCCCACUGGAUUACAGAAACUGCAGAGCUGGCUUAGUAUCCUCCCGCAUUUGAGCAAGUUUGAAAAAGCCUGACUGUGUGUAGAAUAGGUAGCCUCGGCAGGAGGACACUGCGGCUAACUCUGAUGUGCUGUGGACACGGGGUAUUUAACAUUCAGCCCGAUGGCUGCCACUCAGAGACCACAGUGGAUAGUCAGCCAGGCCUGGAUUCCCAUGUACCUUUUGGGGAGCAUGCAUAUUAAAGGGGUGUCCUGUCCUC